rnacentral:rRNA from 1 species
UACGGAGGGUGCAAACGUUGCUCGGAAUCAUUGGGCGUAAAGCGCACGUAGGCGGUCGGCUAUGUCGGAUGUGAAAGCCUCGGGCUUAACCCGAGAAGGGCAUCCGAAACUGGCCGGCUUGAGUACGGAAGAGGGUCUCGGAAUUCCCGGUGUGGAGGUGAAAUUCGUAGAUAUCGGGAGGAACACCAGUGGCGAAGGCGGAGACCUGGGCCGAUACUGACGCUGAGGUGCGAAAGCGUGGGGAGCAAACAGG